rnacentral:lncRNA from 1 species
UAUAUAAGAAAAAACUCAUCUCUCUCUCUCUACCUGCUCUACCUGGUCUACCCGUCUACCAGCAACCACUAGCCACCCUACCAGCCACCACACCAGAUGACCAACACCACCACCUCCUCUUCUUCGUCAAUUUGGAAAAUAAUGGUCUGGAAACCAAUUUCUCCUUUAAUUAACCAGAUCUAUAAAGGUUAUUCAAGUCCAAAAGACUUGUUACGAUUUGAAUAGAGGAUUCAAGCCCUAAGAUCCUCAUUUCAUUCUACCUCGUCUGGAAGCGAUGGUGGUGGAUCUGAACCAGAGCAACCUCCACAUACACUCUCUCAAUUUGUAGGCUAAAACUGAUAGAUCUGAAUAGAGGAUUCAAGUCCAAUUUGUAAGCGAUGGUGGUGGAUCUGAACCAGAGCAACGUCUGGAAGCGAUGGUGGUGGAUCUGAACCAGAUUUGAACCAGCAGUGAUGGUAGUUUAAGUUCCGGUACCGACGAAGUUUGGCUUGGAUCUCAGAAAUGAUGGAACACGACGAAACUAAUGAUGAUUCCAGUGUUUUUUGGGGCUAGGGUGGUGAUUCUUGGCGGUGGUGAUGAUUGCCGGCGGCGGCACUUGCAAGAGAAGAGUUGGCGGUGGUGAUUGCCAACGAGGCACUUGCAGAAGAAGAGGAUGGUAAACUCCAAUCUUUGCUUUCGAUUUCAAAGAUCUCAUGGAUAUUCAUAAUGCAAAUAGGGGGGGGGGGGGGGGGGGGGGAUGAAGAAGAUUUUACGAGUGUUAGGUUAUUAUUCCGUUUUGGAGUAUCUUGAAAAAACAGGAACCAGUUAGUUUUCAAUCACAUCAAGAGAAGUCCGCAUGAUAUUUUGAUUGAGAUUAAAUUGAAAGGUUUUGGUUCGUAUAAAAAUAGAUCAACAUGUAUAGAUAUUACUUGGAAUGACUAGUGUAAAUAUCCUAUGUAUAUAUUGUAAUUUGACCCUUUGCCCGUUUAAGUCGGAGGCUGUGUGUUGUAUUAGUCUUUUGCCUGUUUGGGUCGGAUGUAUGUUUUAAUGAAGUGCUAUUAAAAAAAGAUAAAGUGGGUGAAACCCUAGUUGAUGAAUUAUCACUGUUUGAUUUUAAUAAUUAUGGAAAUUAAAAAAAUAUAUGGGAUGGAAAAAGACUAA